rnacentral:lncRNA from 1 species
CAUUUCCCCUCUUUGUGCUUUUCUCUCCUGUGCCAUGUGAAGAACCUUGCUUCCUCUUUGCCUUCCACCAUGAUUACUCUUACCAGUUGUUUUAAUUGCUAAGACAACCCAGUUCUGCAUGAGCUAUAGCCAACUUCACAAAGCCUCAGGUGCCUGGAUGUUGAGGGGCAAAUAGAACUGUUCACUGAAGGAGCUAGAGAAUGGAAGAGAAGGUUGUGUCAGAUAGAAAUAACAGAAGCUUUCUGAAAUGAAAAUAGAAAUGUUACAACUUGCACCACAGUACUGGACUGAAACAAAGAUGUAACACAGCCAUAAUAAUUUAAAUUAAUAGCAAAUAAAUAAAGAAAAAAAGAACUUCAUUGUGAGGACCAUAGUCAUGGGAUAGCUCUGUCUUUUCGGGGAAAGUGGAGUAGAGGGACAGAGUCACCCCAGGAGAAAAAAUGCUUAAAUUAAGACUCCCUGAGAGAAUGAAUAAGAGUAUGAUUAGUUCAGCCUUGCUUUCAUCCUCCACUUCCCCCUCCCACUGUAGACUUCACUUUUAAUAAUGAUUAAAGAAUAAUGCCUGAAUCCCA